GAAAGCCUGAUCUAGCCAUGCCGCGUGAGUGAUGAAGGUCUUAGGAUCGUAAAGCUCUUUCGCUAGGGAUGAUAAUGACAGUACCUAGUAAAGAAGCCCCGGCUAACUCCGUGCCAGCAGCCGCGGUAAUACGGAGGGGGCUAGCGUUGUUCGGAAUUACUGGGCGUAAAGCGUACGUAGGCGGAUCAGAAAGUAUGGGGUGAAAUCCCAGGGCUUAACCCUGGAACUGCCUCAUAAACUCCUGGUCUUGAGUUCGAGAGAGGUGAGUGGAAUUGCGAGUGUAGAGGUGAAAUUCGUAGAUAUUCGCAGGAACACCAGUGGCGAAGGCGGCUCACUGGCUCGAUACUGACGCUGAGGUACGAAAGUGUGGGGAGCAAACAGGAUUAGAUACCCUGGUAGUCCACACCGUAAACGAUGAAUGCCAGUCGUCGGGCAGUAUACUGUUCGGUGACACACCUAACGGAUUAAGCAUCC
rnacentral:rRNA from 1 species